rnacentral:rRNA from 1 species
CAGUCGCCGCGGUAAUACAGAGGGUGCAAGCGUUAAUCGGAAUUACUGGGCGUAAAGCGCGCGUAGGUGGUUAUAUAAGACAGAUGUGAAAUCCCCGGGCUCAACCUGGGAACUGCAUUUGUGACUGUAUAGCUAGAGUACGGCAGAGGGGGAUGGAAUUCCGCGUGUAGCAGUGAAAUGCGUAGAUAUGCGGAGGAACACCGAUGGCGAAGGCAAUCCCCUGGGCCUGUACUGACGCUCAUGCACGAAAGCGUGGGGAGCAAACAGGAUUAGAUACCCCUGUAGUCCCUGUCUCUUAUAC